rnacentral:rRNA from 1 species
GAUGAACGCUAGCUACAGGCUUAACACAUGCAAGUCGAGGGGUAACGAGAGGAAAGCUUGCUUUCCUCGUCGACGACCGGCGCACGGGUGAGUAACGCGUAUCCAACCUGCCCCCAACUAAGGAAUAACCUUGCGAAAGUAAGACUAAUACCUUAUAAUUUCCUCAGAUGUCAUCUGACGAGGAAUAAAGAUUUAUCGGUUGUGGAUGGGGAUGCGUCUGAUUAGCUCGUUGGCGGGGUAACGGCCCACCAAGGCAACGAUCAGUAGGGGUUCUGAGAGGAAGGUCCCCCACAUUGGAACUGAGACACGGUCCAAACUCCUACGGGAGGCAGCAGUGAGGAAUAUUGGUCAAUGGGCGGAAGCCUGAACCAGCCAAGUAGCGUGCAGGAUGACGGCCCUAUGGGUUGUAAACUGCUUUUAUACAGGAAUAAAGUUAGCCACGUGUGGUUAUUUGUAGGUACUGUAUGAAUAAGGACCGGCUAAUUCCGUGCCAGCAGCCGCCGUAA